UACGGAGGAUCCAAGCGUUAUCCGGAAUUACUGGGCGUAAAGAGUUGCGUAGGUGGCAUUGUAAGUCGGUAGUGAAAGCGUGGGGCUCAACCCCAUAUACAUUAUCGAAACUGCAAAGCUUGAGGAUGAGAGAGGUUAUUGGAAUUCCCAGUGUAGGAGUGAAAUCCGUAGAUAUUGGGAGGAACACCGAUGGCGUAGGCAGAUAACUGGCUCAUUCCUGACACUAAGGCACGAAAGCGUGGGGAGCAAACGGG
rnacentral:rRNA from 1 species